rnacentral:lncRNA from 1 species
AUGUCCCCGUGUCCCCCCGUGUCCUUCAUCAGGUGCUCGGUGUCCCCGUGUCCUGCCAUGUUCCUGUGUCCCAUGUCCCCGUGUCCCUCACCAGGUGUUCGGUGUCCCCGUGUCCUGCCAUGUUCCUGUGUCCCCCCACGUCCCCGUGUCCCUCACCAGGUGCUCAGUGUCCCCAUGUCCUGCCAUGUUCCUGUGUCCCCCCACGUCCCCGUGUCCCUCACCAGGUGCUCGGUGUCCCCGUGUCCUGCCAUGUUCCUGUGUCCCCCCACGUCCCCGUGUCCCUCACCAGGUGUUCGGUGUCCCCGUGUCCUGCCAUGUCCCCGUGUCCCCCCGUGUCCCUCACCAGGUGCUCGGUGUCCCCGUGUCCUGCCAUGUUCCUGUGUCCCCCCAUGUCCCCACGUCCCCCCGUGUCCCUCACCAGGUGUGGGCCGAGGGCAGCCGGUCGGUGGAGCGGUCGUCGCGGUGGAUCUGGAAUUUCUGGAUGCCGUUCAUGCCCUCGAGGGCGGCGAAUCCCUGCAGGGGCACCUUGGACGUGCCCGUCACGAACUGCAGGAACUUGGCGCGGUCGGCCUGGUCGAAGGAGCGCAGGGCGCGCCAGAACCACUGGAUCUGGGCACGGGGACGGGGACAGGACGGGGACAGUCAGCCACUGGGACCCACCGGAAUCCCCCCAGGACCCCAGAAUCACCCAGAAUCCUGGAAUCCCCUGAGAUCCCUCCAGAAACCCCUGAAAUGUCCCCAGAACCUCCCAGGUGCCAGCCCCACCUGGAUGGAGUCACCCUGGUACCCAAAACAACCCCAGAACCCCCUGAAAUUGCCCCAGAACCUCCAGAAACACCCCCAGAACCCUGUGAAAUCCCCCCAGAACCUCCAGAAAUGCCCCCAGAACCCCCGGAGAUCCCCCAGAACCCCCUGAAAUCCCCCCAGAACCCCCUGAAAUCCCCCCAGAACCCUCUGAAUGCCAGCCCCACCUGGAUGGAGUCACCCUGGUACCCAAAAUAA